rnacentral:ncRNA from 1 species
UAAACUCGCAAGGGGUGCUAAAGGCAAUUGCUUUGGCUGAGAAGAGACCCUCCAACCUGUACGGACAAUGCCGGCGUAGGGAUGCAAAUAGGCGAGCGA